ACUUUGUAAGGAACCGCUGGCAGUCGGAGGUCUCACUCCCGCCUCCGCGUCUCCCUGGCCGGCCCCUCCUCCCACCCGCCGGAAGGCUCGGGGUGGGGGGCGCUCUCGGCCCACGCCGGGCAGGGUGGUCCCCCGCCUCCCCAAAAGGUGUGCCUGGCCGGGGCGCGGCGGCAAGUCGCUGCAGGCGCCGUCACCGCCCUAGGGGAGGGAGGACGCGCCCUCCUGGCGGUGGAGCCGGUCCCGCCACCGAGCAUGCCCAGAGGCUGCCGGGCGCGGCGCAGUCCGCAGUCCCGGUUUUCGCGGCGGCAGGCUGGAGCAGGAGGCAGGCUGGGAUGGGGUUGGAGGGGCCAAGAUAGGCCCAAAAGAAGGGGGCACUGGGCGUUAGGGGCGCAGGUCCAGCCAGUUAGCAAGGGCGGCGCGCUGGGAAGAGUGGUGUAUUUUCACGCCGACACCCGUAUUUUCUUGGCUUGCCUCAAGCCGUCUCUGCGUGACUCGUUACCCCGCCGAAGCCACCCGGCAUCCCAAAGCACGAGCCUGGCGCCUCCUAUUCCACGCGGAAGUGCCCGAGUGACCCUGUGAAGGACCUCCCUCCCCUCACACACGCACAUACACAAGCCCAUGUGGGAGCCCGAGUGACGUGUGCUCGGUGGUCAUGCACCAUCAUUUCCCUUCCACCUUCCUCCUCGCCGCUUCCUCUCCCUCCACCGCGCAGCUCCAGCCGCCUUGCCGCCGCCGCAUCCCCUUCCAAGUUCAGGCUGUGGGUGGAACCUGUUGCUUUAGCUCACGUUUCCCUUCCCCUCCGGGCUGCACGCUGAGGAUGACCUCAGCGAGGUGUGUGUAAGGGGAAUGGAGGGUUUGGCUUCCUUGAGACAGAGGAUCUUGCUCGCCUCAAAGAGGAGGGCAGUUUGCCCCCUUCCUCCUGACUCCAAGACAAAAGAGAGAAGACUGAAGAGUGGUAAAGCUUGUGGUGUGAGAUUUGGAUUGUUGGAUCCAGGGCCUCUCAGAGUUCACCUGAGCUUUCCCAAGUCUGGUUUGUUCUCUCUACCCUGCUGCUACUACUGCAAGUGACUUUCACAAGAUGCUUCUGAGCAUAGCAUUGCUCUGCUGUGACCACUGCAGAUGUCAAGAGAAUUUCUGCCUUUUGGAACUUGGACAAUAUUGGCCACCUACCCAGAGAGAGGAGAAGGAUAAUCCAGACAUAAAGGUAGCUCCCACACAUCCUUUGGAUCUCUGAUAAAGAGUCAUAUACUUAAAGAGCCAUCCUCACAUUCCUGCCCAGACUGUGAGCUGCAUGAGAGAGGCCAUGUCUCAUUUUGUUCCAUUACAUCUCCAGCACUUAAGAGUGCUGGACACAUAACGAGUGUCUGACACAUAACGAGUGCUGAAUAAAUGUUUGUUAACUGAUA
rnacentral:lncRNA from 1 species